UAGUAACGGCGAGUGAAGCGGGAACAGCUCAAAUUUGUAAUCUGACGGCCUCUGGUCGUCCGAGUUGUAAUCUGGAGAAGCGUUUUCAGUGCCGGCCCGCGUACAAGUCCCCUGGAACGGGGCGUCGCAGAGGGUGAGAAUCCCGUCUCUGACGUGGUCAUGCCGGCAUGCUGCGAUGCGCUCUCGAAGAGUCGAGUUGUUUGGGAAUGCAGCUCAAAACGGGUGGUAAAUUCCAUCUAAAGCUAAAUACUGGCGAAAGACCGAUAGCGAACAAGUACCGUGAGGGAAAGAUGAAAAGCACUUUGGAAAGAGAGUCAAACAGUACGUGAAAUUGUUGAAAGGGAAACGCUUGAAGUCAGUCGCGUCUCCCGGGUCUCAGUCGCGCCUUCAAAAGCGCGGCGUACUUUCCCGGGUGUGGACGGGCCAGCGUCGAUUUCGACCGUCGUAAAAAGGUGUGAGGAAUGUGGCACCUCUCGUGGGUGUGUUAUAGCCUCGUUCCGUAUGCGACGGUGGGGAUCGAGGGAUGCAGCGCGCCCUUUUAAAACGGGGUCGGGGUUCGCCCACGUAACGCGCUUGGGAUGCUGGCUUAAUGGCUUUAAGCGACC
rnacentral:rRNA from 1 species